UUAAAUGAAUUGACGGGGCCCGCACAAGCGGUGGAGCAUGUGGUUUAAUUCGACGCAACGCGAAAAACCUUACCUGGGUUUGACAUGCCGAGUACCCGAUGGGAACAUUGGGGUGCCCCGUAAGGGGAACUUGGACACAGGUGCUGCAUGGCUGUCGUCAGCUCGUGCCGUGAGGUGUUGGGUUAAGUCCCGCAACGAGCGCAACCCUCACCCUUAGUUGCCAUCAUUAAGUUGGGCACCCUAAGGAAACUGCCGCAGUUAAUGCGGAGGAAGGUGGGGAUGACGUCAAGUCCUCAUGGCCCUUAUAUCCAGGGCUACACACGUGCUACAAUGGACGGUACAAAGGGUCGCGAACCUGCAAAGGGGAGCUAACCCCAGAAAACCGCUCUCAGUUCGGAUUGGAGUCUGCAACCCGACUCCAUGAAGUUGGAAUCGCUAGUAAUCGCGGAUCAGAACGCCGCGGUGAAUACGUUCCCGGGCCUU
rnacentral:rRNA from 1 species